CCUACGGGAGGCAGCAGUGGGGAAUCUUAGACAAUGGGGGAAACCCUGAUCUAGCCAUGCCGCGUGAUCGAUGAAGGCCUUAGGGUUGUAAAGAUCUUUCAGAUGGGAAGAUAAUGACGGUACCAUCAGAAGAAGCCCCGGCUAACUCCGUGCCAGCAGCCGCGGUAAUACGGAGGGGGCUAGCGUUAUUCGGAAUUACUGGGCGUAAAGCGCACGUAGGCGGAUCAGAAAGUCAGAGGUGAAAUCCCAGGGCUCAACCUUGGAACUGCCUUUGAAACUCCUGGUCUUGAGGUCGAGAGAGGUGAGUGGAAUUCCGAGUGUAGAGGUGAAAUUCGUAGAUAUUCGGAGGAACACCAGUGGCGAAGGCGGCUCACUGGCUCGAUACUGACGCUGAGGUGCGAAAGCGUGGGGAGCAAGCAGGAUUAGAUACCCUGGUAGUCCACGCCGUAAACGAUGAAUGCCAGUCGUCGGUAGCAUGCUAUCGUGACACACCUACGAUAGCAUCCGUCCGUGGAGGUACGGUCGCGAGAUAACUACAAGAGUAGUAGACGNGAGAGACGCGACGACGACGACGACGGAGGAGGAG
rnacentral:rRNA from 1 species